GACGAACGCUGGCGGCUUUCUUAACACAUGCAAGUCGAACGGACAGGCCCUGCUUUUGUGGGGUGCUCGAGUGGCGAACGGGUGCGUAACACGUGAGUAACCUGCCCUUGACUUUGGGAUAACUUCAGGAAACUGGGGCUAAUACCGGCUAGGAGCUCCUGCUUCAUGGCGGGGGUUGGAAAGUUUCGGCGGUUGGGGAUGGACUCGCGGCUUAUCAGCUUGUUGGUGGGGUAGUGGCUGACCAAGGCUUUGACGGGUAUCCGGCCUGAGAGGGUGACCGGCCACAUUGGGACUGAGAUACGGCCCAGACUCCUACGGGAGGCAGAAGUGGGGAAUAUUGCACAAUGGGCGGAAGCCGGAUGCAGCAACGCCGCGUGCGGGAUGACGGCCUGCGGGUUGUAAACCGCUUUCGCCUGGGACGAAGCGUGAGUGACGGUAAUGGGUAAAGAAGCACCGGCUAACUACGGG
rnacentral:rRNA from 1 species